rnacentral:lncRNA from 1 species
UUUGUUCUUGAGUUGAGUCUUGGUUCACCUUUCUACUAGGCUUUGAAUUUCAUGGGUAAUGUUUUGUUUUUAGUGCAUACAAGCAUGAUUCCGCCUUUAAAUGUUAAUUGCAUGUCAUAGAUGUUGUUCAAAUGAACAUGUUUUUCACAAAAUUUCCUUCAAGUGGUAUCAAGAGCCUAGGUCUAGUAGUUGGUGAAUCCUUUUGGGUUUUGUAGUUCAUAGUCUUUGAUUUGAAUGUUGUAAUUGUUACAAGCUUUAUUCUUGCUUCUUUGAAUGUAAAUUUUGUUAGAAAAUUUUCCAUCUCAAAUGUUAUAGAUGUAGUUCAUAUGAGCAUGAAUUUUGGAGCUAAAAUUUGGUGCCAUGUUUUUGGGGAAAUUCGGCCAAAUCCAAAGGGUGGUUUUUUGGGUUCUUGUUUGUCUUGUUAAAAGUGUUUUAAGGUGACUUUUGGAACCCCUAAGUACCCUAGGAUGUUAACCCCCUUUUGAGUAGUGAAAUUUUGAAUUUUAUUGAGUGAAAAUAUUCAUGGAGCUCUUAUGAGUUUUCAUAUGUGUUCUUCAAUGUUCUUGAUGUUCUUACCAAGAACAAAAAGUUUGGUGUUUUUUAUUCAAAGUUUUUUGUUGAUUACAUAAAGUCUUUGUUUUGUGUUGGUUGGUGUGACUUUUCUAUCAACAAGACAUUUAUUUGAAAAGGUGAUUGAAAUGUUGAUAGAGUGUUUGAAUUUUUUGUACAUAAUUGGUACUUUUUUCUUACACACCUAUACCUACUUUUUCACACCAACCCAUCACCCAUCAUUUUCAACUUGCAUGACUUUAUGACUUUAUUUUUUAUCAAAAAACCACUCCCUCACACUACCAUGACCGGCCACCCUACAUGUAGGGUACUUUUGGGGCUUUUAUGCAAUUACAUAAAGUUUUGAUACUUUUGUGUAUCUGUACUUCGACCCGAAAGUUUACGUUUUUAUGUAAAGGCCCAAAAUCACUAAAGGACAAAUUGUUUUGCUCCUUUGAUGAAGUUUUUGUAUUUGAUGAAUUUUUUGGGUUCUAAUUGUAAUUACAUGAAGUAGUGGACUUUCGUGUUCUUACAAAGUAACCUCAAAAGUUUGUGUUUUGCAACAUAGCCUAAAAAGUUGAGGUUAUUGCAUUUGGCCCAAAUUAGUUGAGAACAAAAUAGUUUUGUAUCUUUUAAUGAGAAUUGGAUUUUCAUUUCAUUUAGCUCCAUUUAAAUCAAUUCUAUGGAAACAAAAACCAAAUGAAAAUGUUGCAUCAAGUUUAAUUAGUUAAAGCGUUAAUUAAUUAAAGAAAUGGUGAUUAUGAACCUAAGCCUACGAUAAUUGAGCUAUGUGAAAAGCCGUCUCAAAUUUGUUUGAACCAUGGGAAUGUGUAGAUUAGAUUUUGGUUGUAAUUUGAUAUGAUCAAAUGUUGUAAAAGAGCAUAAGCUCUUCUUUACUUUAAAGUAAUUUGUUUUGAUCAAAAGUUGUAAAAAAGCAUAAGCUCUUCUUUACUUUGAAGUACUCCUUUCUUGUUUUAUUUAAUAUGCAUGAAAUUGGAGUAGUUGGGUCCAACGCCCAAUAGGAAAAACACGCCUUAAUAUGAUUAAACGCAUAACUAAAAUCAAUCACCAUCCCUAGACCGAGAUUCAACACUAGGCUCGUGUUGGAUCUAAUCAAAGGUUCAU